GAUCCUUUGUCUACCACUCGGGGUAGAACAACAAAUGGGCUGCCAUCGAAUGGCCAGCGAGUCCUACCAUACCUCCUUACACCGUAGUGACCAUAGGACAAAUAGGACCAGGACCAAUAGUGACCAUUGAUUUACCACCCUGGUAAAAUCAAUAUAGGAUCCUUUGUCUACCACUUGGGGUAAAACAACAAAUGGGCUGCCAUCGAAUGGCCAGCGAGUCCUACCAUACCUCCUUACACCGAUGACGUUUGCCUACCACAAAGGGCCUGACAAACUCAUAAGGACCACCUGCCGAAGAGGUUGCCAUCGAAUGGUCAACGAGUCCUCCCGAACCUCCUAACACCGAGGUGGCAUUUGCUGUGCAUGUCAGACUAUGGAUGAGCUACAAAAGUCCCUCAUGAAUGUUUUAAACUUCGAUCCCAUGAGCUGGCGUCUGUUAACCUGAUCCCUAGGCAAUUGACCCAGUACGACUACCCCCCAGACAGCAAGAGGUAUAGGAGAUAAAAUCGAAU
rnacentral:lncRNA from 1 species